rnacentral:rRNA from 1 species
UACGGGGGGGGGCAAGCGUUGUUCGGAAUUACUGGGCGUAAAGGGCUCGUAGGCGGCCAACUAAGUCCGACGUGAAAUCCCAAGGCUUAACCUUGGAACUGCGUCGGAUACUGGAUGGCUUGAAUUCGGGAGAGGGAUGCAGAAUUCCAGGUGUAGCGGUGAAAUGCGUAGAUAUCUGGAGGAAUACCGGUGGCGAAGGCGGCAUCCUGGACCGGCAUUGACGCUGAGGAGCGAAAGCUAGGGGAGCAAACGGG